CGCUGGCGGCGUGGUUAAGACAUGCAAGUCGAACGAAAAUGAACUUAGCAAUAAGUUUAUUUUAGUGGACAAACGGGUGCGUAACACGUGAAUUAUUUCCUAUCAAGUUGGAAUAAUCUAGGGAAACUUAGUGUAAUACCAAAUAGCAUUUGAAAAAUUAAAAGGAAACUUGCUUGAUGAUAAGUUCGCGGCCUAUCAGCUAGUUGGUGAGGUAAAAGCUCACCAAGGCAACAACGGGUAGCUGGUCUGAGAGGAUGGCCAGCCACACUGGAACUGAGACACGGUCCAGACACCUACGGGUGGCAGCAGUCGAGAAUCUUUCACAAUGGGGGAAACCCUGAUGGAGCGACGCCGCGUGGAGGAUACAGUCUUCGGAUUUUAAACUCCUGUCAUGCAAGAGCAAGGCUGUCAAAAGCUUGAUAG
rnacentral:rRNA from 1 species